rnacentral:rRNA from 1 species
AAAGAUGGGGACAACAGUCCGAAAGGACUGCUAAUACCGAAUGUUGUAUCGUUUCCGCAUGGAGAUGAUAUUAAAGAUGGCCUCUACUUGUAAGCUAUCGCUUUGUGAUGGGUCUGCGUCUGAUUAGCUGGUUGGUGGGGUAACGGCCUACCAAGGCGACGAUCAGUAGCCGGUCUGAGAGGAUGAACGGCCACAUUGGAACUGAGACACGGUCCAGACUCCUACGGGAGGCAGCAGUGGGGAAUCUUCCGCAAUGGGCGAAAGCCUGACGGAGCAACGCCGCGUGAGUGAAGAAGGGUUUCGGCUCGUAAAGCUCUGUUGACGGGGACGAACGUGCGAGAUGCGAAUAGUUUCUUGCAAUGACGGUACCC